UGACAGUUAAGACACAGGAUGGCCAGC
rnacentral:piRNA from 1 species